ACUAUUCGAAGAUAUUUGAGGAGAGGUUAUCCGUGUUAUGUUCUCUUUUUCAUCAUGAAUAAUACAUGGUUAACCUCUUUUUGAAUGUCAAACUC
rnacentral:pre_miRNA from 1 species